rnacentral:rRNA from 1 species
UACGGAGGGUGCAAGCGUUGCUCGGAAUUAUUGGGCGUAAAGGGUAGGUAGGUGGUCUCAUUUGUCUGGGGUGAAAGCCCUUGAGCUUAACUCAAGAAGUGCCCCAGAAACGGUGAGACUAGAGUCCUGGAGAGGGUCGUGGAAUUCCGGUGUAGCGGUGAAAUGCGUAGAGAUCGGGAGGAACACCGGUGGCGAAGGCGGCUUCCUGGACCGACACUGACGCUGAGGCGCGAAAGCUAGGGGAGCAAACGGG